CGGUGGGGUAACCUUUAUGGAGCCAGCCGCCUAAGGUGGGACAGAUGAUUGGGGUGAAGUCGUAACAAGGUAGCCGUAUCGGAAGGUGCGGCUGGAUCACCUCCUUUCUAUGGAGA
rnacentral:rRNA from 1 species